rnacentral:ncRNA from 1 species
GCCGGGAGGGCGGCGGCUAUACAAGACCCGAAAGGGGAAGGCCGUCGCGCAUGGUCUCUGGCCAUGUUCUUACCCUCCCGGCGCCAGUGC